AUUAAGUUUUCUGUGUGCCAGAGCCUGAUUAUUGAGGUUGCUUGUUAACUGAACUCUUGUUGAUGUGUUCCACAAACAAAAUAUAAUGCUUAAUUACACGAGGCCUUGGAAACCUGAGAGGAGCUGCAGUCCAGUGUCGACCCUAACUUUCGAUGCCAGGGCAGAUAUGUAAAAGGUGAGUGUGGGGAACUUUGGCCAAGGUCUAAAUCCCUUUGUCUUUUAAAAAGAAACUUUAUAAAGAUAUUUUGUUCUGAAUGUGCCUUAAAAAUCAUCAGGAUUCAUUCAAACUCAGACCUCCGUCGAAGAAGAUGCCAUCUUAUGCUGUGUUGGCAGCCAGUGUCAGUGUGAAACAAAACCUUGAUUUGUGUUCCUCCUUGGACGCAGUGUAACCCAGCCAUCCAAUGGGCAUUAAUGACUGCACCCAGCAGUUGUGCACACGCAACCACCCGUGACUUUGGGGCACGUGAGAAUGCCAACUUCAGACCAAGAAAAAUAUCUCCAAGUGUUGUUCACAUAAUGCACCGUGUUUGGAGUAUGAUGCAGGUAACUCAUGAUGUUGUCUUGACCAGCUGAGUCCAUUACUCUGGCAUUUUACAAUGCAACAUCAUAUCCUAUAGAAAUAAAUCUGAUCUGUAGACCUUAUCGCAGGAUAGACCAUUAUGUAUAAUGAUGUUCAAGCCUAAAUGUUGAAAAUGGGGGAAAUAACUGAGUGAAGGAAGGAAAAAAACCCCUAUUUUCUUUUAUCACAACAAGACAAGAUUAAUGCUUUGUUUUUUUCCUUAGUGCCUAGAACCCAAGGGUUUUCAUGCAAUUUUUCAGACUUCAGCUUCACCACCCACUGUAAGGUAGGUUGUUCACAGGUAAGGAACAGGUGAGCUACCAGAGAGACACCAUAAUAUCACUGCAUAAUAAUAAGGGUAAUGUUUUCAAAAGAACACCAGUAAUUCAGGGACCUAAAUCCCAUUGACAUUGACCUCUGCUAUUAUUUAUUGACUACAUUCAUUACAGUGCCUGGGGGCUGAUCACACAUGGAGUCCAGUUGUGUGAGGCAUGGCACAAGCACACAAGAACUGAGGAUCUAACAGGCAAGACAGGAGUUGGGGGGGAAGGGACAGAUGAGCAGGGGGGACAAUGUGCUAGUAGCAAAUGUCAGGUCCUAACUAUGAUACUUCCUUUGUGCCAAUGGGGUUUAGAUUCCCAGAUCUGGGACAUUUUUAAGCUUCCUCCAGUGCAUUCGGUGAAGAAGCAGAAUCAUGCUCCUUGACCCAAGCUGUUUAGAGUCUGAAUAGGGCAGACACCAGAAUCCAGAUUUCAUAGAGAUUAGGGUUGGAAGGGACCUGGGAAGAUCUUCGAGCCCAACCCCUUCGAGUCCAGCCCCCUGCCCCAGAUGUUAAUCUUGUACACCUAAAGUGCAAAGUGAGACUACGCAGGGACAUCCCUUGGGAAGGCUGGGGUGGAGCAGAAGCUAGGAUCUAAAUCUCUUGCUUCCCAGUUAAUUGUUUGAACUGCUAGCCCUAGCUUUCUUCAAUGAUACCUCCAGAGUCAGCUCUGUUGGAACACGGUUAGCUGCUAAAUGAGUCAGACUUGGCCUCUCUUGGAUCCAGGCCUGACUCUGAAAGGCAGUCAGCACCCACCAGUCCUGAUGACUUCAGUGAGAGUGGCAGAUGCUUAGUACUACUCAAUACCAAGCUCCAUGGCACCACAUAUGGAGCUCUGCUAGGAAGAGAAGCCAGGAAACCUGGGCAUUGAAUUCUGCAGCAAACUGAGUACCCAGCACUUCUGUAGCUAGCUCUUUGCUCUUUUGAGAGAGACCACAUUUUCCAAAGAAUUAACCUGAUCUAUUUUCCUCAUGAUGUACAGUACAAUAGAAGAAAGCCUGGGGCUUGAUUUUUCCCUACCCCUGUGCCUUCCCCUUAUAUAGUUCCCUGGCCCCUGUGCAAAGUAGAAUAAUGCUACCCCUCUGAUCUGGUAGUAUCUCACAAGCAUGCCUGCACAGCACCUUGUACAAUGGGACCCAAGCUGGCUGUGAACUGUAGGCACAACCACAGUUUGAGCCUGACUUAUUGCCCCUUGCAGUCUAGAAGUCACUUAUUGCUGACUUCCACGUACUUUGGAUCAGGCUUAUGAACUUUGCAAUCAUCAUAAUAUAAACGGCUCCAUGCAAAGUGAUGAAAAAUCAGGCCCCGUAUGAUUGAAAAACAUGGGGAUAGGUUUCAGAGAGACAAGAUGAUGAAUUAACAAGUUUCAAACUUCACAGGGAGUUGAGGGGAAGGGGAAGUGAGAGAGGAAGGGUGUAAUUCAAAUCUCUGCUACUGGCCCCUUCAGUAAAUGAGUGGAGUUCAUCCCUCAUGCACUGGAGUUAUACCAGCCAUGAAUUUUCCCCAGAUAUUUUUUUGAAACGUCAAGCAAGGAAUUUGUAUAAGAGCCAUAAGAAGGUGGCGGUGACAUUUUCAAUAGCAGAGGGGUUUUAUGUGGUGCCAGUUAAUACAAUAGAAACUUGGAGAGAGUUUAAAAGAACAACAAAAAAAGUCUGUGCUGGCUGUAAAGUUCAAAGUAUUUCUUUUUUUUGGAAUUAACUGGGGAAAUCCUGAGGAUCCAAUGUAAUUCUGUGUGGUUUAAGUUUCUCUGUCAAAAACAGGAGCAACACAGUGUGAGCGAGCCAGCGGUUUGGCUACACAAGCAAUAGGCAUCUUGCAGAAGCCUGGCACUAACUUUCAGUACAUGACUCCCUUUGAGUCUGACAGACUCUAAUCUGGCGCCAGAGGUUGCUUUUCCAACGCUGACAUUGGGAACCUGGAUCCAACAUCCAGUGGCCUGAAAAGGAGCAAGUCCUUUGACUGCAAUGAACUUAGGAUCAGGCCCAGGAACAUGAGCUUUUAACCAAUGUAUAGCACAUCUUCAACAUGCACCACUGCUUCUUGCCAUGGAUUCUGACCCGUGAGUGUCCAGAGGACCUGCACCUGCUUCCUUCAGGAUGCGUUUGACUGAAUUUGGCCUCAUAAAUUCCCUGUUGUGCUUGAAGAACUCAGAGGAAUGUGUGUCUGACUGCAAGAGCCUUAUUCUUCCCUGCCAGGCGACAUGUAAUUCUAACUGAAGUUAAUUGGAUUUACUCCUACCCUGUGGCUGAAGAGUCUGGCCCAAGGAAUUUCAACUAUUACUCACCUCUUGGUAUCAUAAUUAUAUCGUGAACUCUUGACAUGAUCUUGAAUGCAGGGAUGGCCAGAAAAGACAGACUAUUCCAACCAUCUUAAACCUUUCUUAAAGUGGGAAAGCAGCUGGACCCCUGGCUACAAAUGUUGAGGCCCUCCUCUCUAGCUGCGUUGUCAGGGCCUUCUGAAAUGACACUUCAACUGACAUCAGUUUGAACUCUUGGGCAGAUGAUCCAGCGACUUGCUUCUAAGUGGUUUUUCUGGCAAAGUGGAAUAAAAGGCUUUAGUAUAAAAACGAAGGGUAUCUGUCCUAUGGAGGACCUGGGUAUUUCACCUGUAACUUGGUACUGCUCAGGGAGGGAUGGGCAGGGGAGACAGGAGCUCAAACUAGGCAGUGUUGCCCCAAAGAGCAUGCUUUGCUGCCUCUCUCUUUCCAGUGGUCUGAGGGGGGUCGUGACUGACUAACCGUUGAAAGAAAGGAAGCCAGCCAAAUGAAAGCCAUGAAAAGAGCACAGCUCUAUGCAUCCACAGACCUGGCACCCAUCUUCCAUUGGUUUUGCUCAUUAUUAAUAAGACAGAGAAAAGAAGAUGGAGGCGUUUUAGGUAGUUGAUAGCAGAGUUGAGCAAAGAAGCCACAACUCCUGAGUCUGAGUCCCUGACUGUAACCCUUAGUCUACCCAGCCUCCUGAUGGCACACCUGCCUGUGAUUGGGUGCACUGGGGGGGGACCCCAGAGCUUUCCACCCCGGGAGCCACUCUAAGGAAAGGUACAUGGACUCAGCCAACAGAUGUGGGGUUGGUGAACUUCAGUUAAAGCUGUGCCAAGAAUCGCCUUCCUGGGUGACCACUGCCCUCCUUUAGAAACAUCUUCUUGACAUGAGAGCAACUCCAUUGACUUGGGUGCCCACUUUCACCUGGACUGAUUUUGGCCCUGCACAGUCCAGUCUCACUGGUAUUAGAGGCUUGUUGUACUGGUUUGUGGGUAGGAACAGACAGGCUUCACUGAACCUCCCAGUCUUUGAGGAAGGCCCUUCAAAGAUCAGUAGCUUCUCAGCCAGCGUCUUACCUUGGUUCUACUAGGGUAAGUCCAGAGUGUCUCUUGGGGACAGCACAAUGGGCCAAAUGCUCCUCUCAAUGACUUCAAUAGGGUGACACCAGUGUAAUGGAGGAGAACAUGACCCUGAACACUCAUGAAUGGCACAAGGAAAGUACACUACUAACGAAAACCAAAAAGGAAUCGGUAGCUAACCCUACGUAUCACCUUCUCAGACCAAUUUGGUGGUGGCUCCUCCUCAUGUAACCCGGAUGGCACUCUUUGCCCUGCAGCUUGAUGUUGUGCCUUAUUAGCCACAAAUUCAUUUUCCAUCCAAGUGUUGCAACCACUUCAUCACACGAGGCCUCGGGGCCUGAACUACUUGAACGCUUUUACAGCCAUGUUUCCUGGCAGCAAAAUGAGUCUGCUGCCAUUUCAUAUGCUCUGGGGCUGCUUGGAAGUGUGUCAUGUUGAUCUGCUUCCUGUUGGCAUUUAAAAGAAUGCCACUCUGAGAUGUGCAGAAUUACCUAUUGCUAAUCUGAGGAAGUGUUGAGCAUGCCUGGAGAGCUGCGAGUCCUGGGCAACCUGCUUGUUCUGCUAUCUAUAUAGGAACUGUGGACCGAGAUCCUCUCCAGUCUCCAUAAAUUAAAUCUCCAGCAGAUAAACUUUGCUAAAUAUGUCAAAGCAAAAUGCCAGGUUUCUUCCUACCUCUGAAGUUUGGGUACCUCCUUCCCUCUUGCAGAGGAAUUUUUGUUUGACUGCUUUUGAUGUGCAGACUUUGGACACUAUGGGGUCAAAGUUGCAGCUGAACUUGUCAGGAUGUGUCUGAAUAUGCUUACCCGGUUUUGCUUAUGAUUAGCUAGGAUCAAAAAUCCUCUUGCUACUACUGAACUUACCAUCUGGCCUCAGCGGUAAUUGCCUUUCUGUUCUGGGAAGCCUGGUUGCUCAUUCAGAGGGUUAAAUUCUGCCUGGUCUGCAUGUUAUCACUUCAGCUGUUGGCGCUAUAUGACUUUGUGCUGCUUUGCUGAAACUGAGCUAAGUCAGUCUGGCCUUAAUAAUUGAGAUAGAUCAGUGACUGUUUUUAUGGCUUUUCCUCUGCUGCUUAUUGCUGCUGGAGUCUAGUGCCACUUCUAGCCAAAGAUCUUGGGGCACUUUGCAAACAUGAAUGAAUACAGCCUGGGAAAUGCUUUCUAGUAUCCCCGUUCCUUGAAGGGGAAACCAGGGCCCACAAGGACUAAAGACAGGAUGGUUCAGAGCUUCUGUGCAAAGACCUUUCCCUCCCUUAUUGCUUUGAACCCUUCCUGCAAGGUUCCUGUGCUGAGGGUGGUGAAAUGAGGACUCCCUCUACCAUUGUUUGGAGUGCACGUGCUUGGGAGAUGUGGGACUUUGAACAACGGUUGGAAGCAGGCUAGCAGUGAUGAGACGUUUCCACCCUCUGAAAACCUUGGUCCUGACUGGCAGAACCCCCCUGUGCUUGGCCAUCUUCCUCCCUUGCUUGCCCCUGGGGACGAGAGGCCCAGGUGGGAAUAGCCCUCAUCUCCCUCCACUCAGGAAUCAAUACCUGGAGGGGGCAGAAAGAGCCAUGGAGGAUUUGGGAGGUCUGGGAGAGCUGACAACACUAUCAAACACAUGCAUAUGAUGGGUGUGGACAGGGGGAAAACGAAAUGCAAGAGACAGACUAAAAUCGCAACAUGUUUUUUUUAAAAAAGAAAAAGUUUCCUCCUGUUAGGAUGUGUCUGGGGAUCUCAAUUUAAUUUCCCAGAGCACUGGAGCUUGGAGAUGGAGUAGGACCCCCAGUCACUUUGAAGCCAGCUCUCAUUGCUGUCAUGUCACCUGGCAGAAGGGAGACUCCGGUACCGGUGCACAGAGGCGGUGAUGAAGAAUAUGCAGUACGGCACCUGGGUUUUGGAGGCUCCAUGCGAUGUGCUGUCCUGUACUGCAAAUGGCCUUUCCAGGCAUCCCUUCACAUUGGCUGUUAAUGAGCUGCACACAAGUUCUGCCUCAGAACGAGGCUGAUGCAGGAUUUUGGAGGCACGCAGGCCUUGCAUUGGCAUCUUGUUCGCGAUACACAAAUCCUGUCUUGUUGCAGUUUCCAGCUCUGACUGUUGUAUGAUGUGCCCUCGAGUCCCCUCUUACUUUCCUGAGCCUAGAAACAAUUAGGGCAGUAGAGGACUUCUCCUGGCCACCAUGCCUCAAUCUGUGCAAGCAAACAAGCUAAAAGCAAGGGAGAAAUGACUUCGGGCCUAUGCAGAACAUAAUUCAGUACAGCUGACACUUCCAUCAAGUUAUGUAAAUACCCCUGACUGAUAGCAAAGUCUAUGAAAAAUGAAUGAAAAGCCAUCAGUGGAUUUGUAUGGAAACCAACUAAGCACUAAAAGGAACAUUAUUGGGGGAAAAUGAUUAAUACAAGAAAAGCUUUCUAUCAAUACCUGGCAGGAAUAAAUAAAUACUGCUGACACAUCGAAGUGAAUUAUGGGUGUAUUUGGCUCGAACAAGAGAAUGCAAAACUCCCUCUCUCACGACUAGUCACUUAUGGAUUUAAAACCCCAGCAGCGGAUGCUACAUCAAGACUGGAUACCUGCCAAGUUGUCUGCAGUUCAGCACUCUGAGGAAUACUUACAAUAUUGGUGUUCUGGAUAGAUUUUCUUGAGCAUUUAACCAGCCGCCUGGAGAUUUUUGCUCUAAAGAUCACAAGGCUCAAGAGGGAAUCCAAUGUUUGGUGUACCUGGUAUAGUCUCAGGGCAACUAUCCUAGAAAUCCGGGGGACCUUUGCCAUCAAAUCACAGAAUACCAGCAGUAAAAUAAGCUGUCCUACCCCCACCAUAUGAAUUCAUGCGACAGAUCCCGGUUUUAGGAACCCGUCCUCCACAAUCGUAGACAUAACCGGUAUCUUGGAACAUUUCGGUUCUGCUGUUAUUGCCAUUCGUUUCUGAAACGAAACAUGCUAAGUGCUGAGAUUUUCAGAUGAGACUGAAGUUGUGUUUACUAUUUCCACAAGUGACAAAUAAGGAAAGACUGAUUAAAAGCUUCUCAUCUAAAAUACAAGCGGAUCAAGUCCAAAGUCCAAAACCGGGACUGCUUUUACAGAGCUGCGUUACUAAAGUUGUACGGAAUAACAUUUACCAGUUGGGCAACCCAGUGGUUUCACACAGGUAUAACAUUUAUUUGUCACAGCACAAUGCGAAGUGAAACCAUUUAAAUGAAAAACAGAAAUGACAGUGUUUGCACAUGCACAUUUUUUUUUGUUUACAGACAGCAUCCAACUGAACAUACACUCUAGGAACCCUAUUCCUCACAAUGAACAUUAUUUUUUUUCCAAAUAUCUAAGUCACGUUACAUACACUUAUAGUCAAACUGAGCAGGAAUCAUGUGAGACUAAUACAUACAUAAGUACAUCCAUUUAGAGGGCUAUCUAUCCAGAUAGUGAAUGUAUCUUCAUGAGUGUAGCACGUGAACACAUUUUUGACAAAGGCUUGGACUUUGCAGCUGAGAUUACUUGUGCGCUGAUUUAGAAGCAGCUUUGGAUUGCAUACAUCCCUUCGAGCUUCUUACAUUUAAACCGCCCGUUUCCAAGACUGUGGGUUUUUCAUUGUGCAAUUGAAAGUGCUCUAUGACAGUGGAUUACAAAGCUUAAUAAUACAACAUGAUUGCAGUCUCCUCUUGUAUAGAGAAAAUAUACCUUAUGGUCAGUAUUUGUGUGUGAUAAACUAAUUUGAGAAGUGCCUGUAUACUGUAUGUUGCCACAAUUAUAAUCACAACAUUUAAAUAUGCCCAGAAGAGAAAUCUAUGUUGCUUAUGUAUUCCAAGCAAUAACCCUUAUAUGCCCUCUGAUCCAGUUCCAAUUAAAAUCAAUGAAUUAAAAAUGAAAAUCAAUGAAUUAAAAUCUUCAGUGAAGAUUGGUUCAGACCAAAUAUAAGCUAGUGCAUAUCAUGUACAGGUAAUAGCACAAAUGCAUGAAUCUUUUUGGAGCUGACUAAAAUGAACCUGCUUAAUGAGUAGUGCUUUGACCUAAUAUCUUUUAAAGUGCCCCUUAAGAAGCUGAUGCUGGGUAGCCGGUAGACCUGUUCAGCACUGAGUCAGAUUGUCAACACUUCAUCCAAAUGAAUGUGUAAGAAAUAAAACAUCAUGAUGAAGUCAAGGCACAAUUAUUAUUAACUCUGCGUUCUGAAGUAAUCUCAGUGCUCAAAGUGCUUCCACCUGGAUAAUGAAGAGAAUUUUUAUGCCUGUGAUAAGAUUUGAAAAAUUGAUUUCUUAAUUUAACUUUCAUCAGAAUGAGAUGAAUAUACAGAAAGCACUAACAAAGUGCUCUUGUUUAACUAUUUAACACCAUAGCAGAUAUAUUACCAAUCUGCUUGAAUCAAUUGGACAAGAAAGAUAGACCAUGGAUAUAAUUCAGCCUCAAGGCUGCCUUGACUUGUAUCAGGUGGCUCCAAUCCUAAAUGGAUCAUUGGGCCGCUAAGAAUUUAAAUAAAGUG